rnacentral:rRNA from 1 species
GACAGAGGGUGCAAACGUUGUUCGGAAUUACUGGGCGUAAAGCGCGUGUAGGCGGCCCGGUAAGUCCGCUGUGAAAGUCGGGGGCUCAACCCUCGAAUGCCGGUGGAUACUGUCGGGCUAGAGUACGGAAGAGGCGAGUGGAAUUCCUGGUGUAGCGGUGAAAUGCGCAGAUAUCAGGAGGAACACCAAUUGCGAAGGCAGCUCGCUGGGACGUUACUGACGCUGAGACGCGAAAGCGUGGGGAGCAAACAGG